rnacentral:tRNA from 1 species
GGAAAUGUAGCUCAGUGGUAGAAUGCCUGCCUAGCAUGUGGGAAGCUCUGGGUUCAAUUCCCAGUCAUGCCA